UACGGAGGGUGCGAGCGUUGUCCGGAAUCAUUGGGCGUAAAGAGCGUGUAGGCGGCCCGGUAAGUCCGCUGUAAAAGUCAAAGGCUCAACCUUUGAAUGUCAGUGGAUACUGCCGGGCUAGAGUCCGGAAGAGGCGAGUGGAACUCCUGGUGUAGCGGUGGAAUGCGCAGAUAUCAGGAAGAACACCAACGGCGAAGGCAGCUCGCUGGGACGGUACUGACGCUGAGACGCGAAAGCGUGGGGAGCGAACAGG
rnacentral:rRNA from 1 species